CUUAUCCUUGCCAGCUGUUAAUGUUCUUGACCUGGAUUUCGCAAACCUGACCUCGGAAGAACUACCCAAUUUAAAACGUGUCAAACUGACCACCACCAUUCGUACCCCAUUUGUAGAGAGAUCCCUCCCAAACUAUCUCUUUAUGGUUAUGCCGUCAAGGACUAUGGUAAUAGAAGAUUUAGAGAUCGGACAACUCGUCGGAUAUCUCGCAAGAUCGGUUUUUCCAAAUUUGCCUUGAAACACUUGACCAUUCAAGUUUCUGGAGUAUUGGAUGAAUCCACAGAUCUUGAUGGCUGGAAAGGAUUUUUCAGAAAUUUGUACCAAUCCCCGAUAAACAUAUCGCGAUUGACAAUUUAUAUGGGAAUCUGGUCAUCAUUUUCUAAUUUAAUGGGGGCGAUGGAUGUUAUGGAUGACCUAAAUCCAGUGGAGGAUCUCAAGUGUCAGCAUCAUUAAUGGAGCCCCCCAAACUCACAAUUACCAAUAUGACUCACAACGCACCAAGUUCGAAAAUGUGUUUCGAACUUGGCAGCCAAAUUUAUCCUUUGUGGGAUACGAGUUCAAACUUCCCGCGGCUACUCGAAUGAAGAAAUUCAUCAAGGAAAAUAAUUUGGGCGUUAGUUUUGUAGACAAAAUUGAUCACUGAUACAAGUUCUACCGUAGAUAUUGGCUUGUGAAACUGCUCGUCAGGAAGCAAUGACGAUAUUAAAAUA